rnacentral:rRNA from 1 species
UCUGGUGCCAGCAGCCGCGGUAAUUCCAGCUCCAAUAGCGUAUAUUAAAGUUGCUGCAGUUAAAAAGCUCGUAGUUGGAUCUGGGGCUUGAGGUCGCUGUCUAUCGUUUCGGCGAUGACGGUGAUGCUCAGCUCUGCUUGCCGGUGACUGUUGCGGUGUUCUUCACUGAGCGCUGUAGCAGCACGGCACGUUUACUUUGAAAAAAUUAGAGUGCUCAAAGCGUGCUUGUCGCUUGAAUAAUGUUGCAUGGAAUAAUGGAAUAGGACCUCGGUUCUAUUUUGUUGGUUUUCGGAGCUUGAGGUAAUGAUUAAGAGGGACGAACGGGGGCAUUCGUAUUGCGGUGUUAGAGGUGAAAUUCUUGGAUCGCCGCAAGACGGACUACUGCGAAAGCAUUUGCCAAGAACGCUUUCAUUAAUUAAGAACGAAAGUCAGAGGUUCGAAGACGAUCAGACACCGUCCUAGUUCUGACCAUAAACGAUGCCGACCAGCGAUCCGUAGUGGUUGCUUUAUGGACCCUACGGGCAGCCUCCGGGAAACCAAAGUAUUUGGGUUCCGGGGGAAGUAUGGUUGCAAAGCUGAAACUUAAAGGAAUUGACGGAAGGGCACACCAGGAGUGGAGCCUGCGGCUUAAUUUGACCCAACACGGGAAAACUCACCCGGUCCGGACACCGUAAGGAUUGACAGACUGAUAGCUCUUUCUUGAUUCGGUGGAUGGUGGUGCAUGGCCGUUCUUAGUUGGUGGAGUGAUUUGUCUGGUUAAUUCCGAUAACGAACGAGACUCUAGCCUGCUAAGUAGUGUUGCUAUUGUUAUAUGGUUGACACUUCUUAGAGGGACAAGUGGCAUUUAGCCACGCGAAAUUGAGCAAUAACAGGUCUGUGAUGCCCUUAGAUGUCCGGGGCCGCACGCGCGCUACACUGGAGAAGUCAGCGUGUGUUAUCCAAGUCCGAAAGGACUGGGUAAUCCGUUGAACCUUCUUCGUGCUUGGGACUGUGGCUUGGAACUAUUCCACAUGAACGAGGAAUUCCUAGUAAUUGCAAGUCAUAAGCUUGCGUUGAUUACGUCCCUGCCCUUUGUACACACCGCCCGUCGCAACUACCGAUUGAAUGGUUUAGCAAGGUCCUCGGAUCGUGGCCGUAGGGGCACGCAAGUGUUUCUGCGGUUUGCGAGAAGACGACCAAACUUGAUCAUUUAGA